GACGAACGCUGGCGGCGUGCUUAAUACAUGCAAGUCGAACGAUGAAAGCUGGAGCUUGCUCCGGCUGGAUUAGUGGCGAACGGGUGAGUAACACGUGAGUAACCUGCCCCUCACUCUGGGAUAACCUCGGGAAACCGAAGCUAAUACCGGAUACGACCCUCGGAGGCAUCUCCAGGGGGUGGAAAGAAUUUCGGUGAGGGAUGGACUCGCGGCCUAUCAGGUAGUUGGUGAGGUAACGGCUCACCAAGCCGACGACGGGUAGCCGGCCUGAGAGGGUGACCGGCCACACUGGGACUGAGACACGGCCCAGACUCCUACGGGAGGCAGCAGUAGGGAAUAUUGCACAAUGGGCGCAAGCCUGAUGCAGCAACGCCGCGUGAGGGACGACGGCCUCGGUUGUAACCGUCUUUAGUAGGUAAGAAGACGAAGUAGACGGUACCUGCAGAAAAGACACCGGCU
rnacentral:rRNA from 1 species